AUUAUUCUUAUUUUUAAACAAAACUUUCGUUAACUGGUGACUAGAAAGUACGGGACGGCCUUGACCAGGACGUUACGCCACCACCCACCACGGCUUGUGGUUGACCCGAGAUUAUGGGGCAAUCGCUUUCGUUUCACCGGCAGUGACUUCUGGAGUGUGGAUAAUCCGGCAACGCCUCCUCGCCGCUGUUGCGAUUUAAAGCCAACCACUCAUCAAAGCUCAGUGGUAAUGGCCCCAUGGUUCCUAACGAUACCAUCCAUCGGAACCUGGGCCUUGAGACGGUGGAUGAGGAUUAUGCGAAGUUUGUAAGAGAUAUGUUUCUCUUCAACAGAUUGGCCUGCGGACCUGCAAAAGACAGUUAAAGGCUAAAAGUUUCAAAGUGACAGAUUGAAUGUGGAAAUGACCUGCCUUCCAACCUGUUGUCUCGAUAGCACAAUCAGGAAGGCACCUCGAUGAACUUAUGACCCUCGGUCGAGCCUUGGCCAGGCCAUUAUCUCGUGCCAGCACCAUUGCACCGUCCUCAUGUCUGGUGAAAUUUCUGGAAGCCUCCUACGGACAAAUUGACGCACAAAACAUGGAGUACAUAUGUACAUAUAUAUAACGAGAAGGGACGUGUGAGACGCUUCUUACUCGUCACAACUUUUAUACCCGGUACUCAGUAGAUCAUCUGUACCUUAACG
rnacentral:lncRNA from 1 species